rnacentral:rRNA from 1 species
GAUGAACGCUAGCGGCAGGCCUAACACAUGCAAGUCGAGGGGUAACAGGGGUGCUUGCACUUGCUGACGACCGGCGCACGGGUGAGUAACGCGUAUGCAACCUACCUUAUACAGAGGGAUAUUCUUUGGAAACGAAGCGCAAUACCUCAUGGUCUCUAAAUACGGCAUCGUAUUAAGAGUAAAGAUUUAUCGGUAUAAGAUGGGCAUGCGUGACAUUAGCUAGUUGGUGAGGUAACUGCUCACCAAGGCUACGAUGUCUAGGGGGUCUGAGAGGAUUAUCCCCCACACUGGUACUGAGACACGGACCAGACUCCUACGGGAGGCAGCAGUGAGGAAUCUUGGUCAAUGGACGAAAGUCUGAACCAGCCAUGCCGCGUGAAGGAAGACUGCCCUAUGGGUUGUAAACUUCUUUUAUAUAGGAAGAAAAGCUGAUACGUGUAUCUGUCUGACGGUACUAUAAGAAUAAGGACCGGCUAACUCCG